rnacentral:rRNA from 1 species
UACGUAGGGGGCAAGCGUUGUUCGGAAUUACUGGGCGUAAAGGGCGCGUAGGCGGCCUUCUAAGUCGAACGUGAAAUCCCCGGGCUCAACCCGGGAACUGCAUCCGAUACUGGAAGGCUUGAAUCCGGGAGAGGGAUGCGGAAUUCCAGGUGUAGCGGUGGAAAUGCGUAGAUAUCUGGAGGAACACCGGUGGCGAAGGCGGCAUCCUGGACCGGCAUUGACGCGUGAGGAGCGAAAGCCAGGGGAGCAAAGCGGG